GACUGUGAUCACGUGGUAUACUAAAACGGAGGUUUUUGGUAUGCUAAAUGGGAGGUUAUGCUAAAUGAGAGUAUACUAAAUGGGAGGUCCGACUGUAUUCUGCAUACGGCUUCUGCAUGUAGAAUGUACCACGCAAUUUACAUUGAUUAACUGCAAUAAAUUAAAAUUUUCCUAAGCAAUCAUAAUGCGUUAUAGCUCGUAUUAGAUAACAGUAGUAACAAAUUAUUUUUUCUACUGUCAAAUCUUGGUACUCAGAUAUUAAUAAUAUUUCUGUUUGUGUAAAUUUGUAUACUUUUUUUAACUUAAAAAAUUGUGAGCCGACGGGAUUUUCUCAGACUUAUACAUACAAAUACAGUUCUUCCUUUGUUAUUAUUCAGAUUCGAAUACUGGCUAAUGUGAUUUUUUUGUAACCAAUUAAUUUUCUGCAACGAUUCUAAAUAAAUACUUAUCAACAUUAAGUAAUUAAAAAAUUGUCAAUUUUUAAUAGAGUAAAUUUAAUAUUCUAAUGAAAAAACUAUUAUAAGUUUGACAAACUCCAGCAACGAGCAAUUUAUCAAGUUGAGGAAAGAAUAAAAAUUCACACAAGGAGAAAUAUUAUUUGAUUAUGCUGUGUAAAAGCUGCAUGCUUGUGCAUAAUACAAUUGAUCAAACGAUGAAUUAAAAGACUCGCUUUUUAUUACUCGAUCUUGAUUUUCGUCAUCAGAUGUCUAGAAUCAUUUCUUAAUAUUACCGAACACUCAUUUGUAUGAUCAUGAAAAGAUUUUCUUGUGAAGGGUAUACUAUUAUUGAGUUAAUCUCAAACUUAUACUGAACUCAGGACUUAUACUGAAUUGAUUACUGAUACUGCAGCGACGCUAUCACUACAUUUAUUAUCACAAAGUUGAAGUAUUGUGCACAAUAUAUAUUGAUAGGUGACUUCACAAUAUGUCACUUUAACAGAAUCGGAUUUUGAUAAUAUCGUAGCAGAAUGGCUGCGUUUUGCUAAACAACUUAAAAGCAGAGAAACUGAACAAACAAAUAGAAAAGCUGAAGAACGUAUUAUUUAGGAAUAAAUUUGAAGGAAAUACUUUUUGACGAAGAGUACCUGCUCAGUAGCUAACAGACUGUAAAGAAAAAUCUUACAAUAUUUCAAAAAGUAUGCAUGUCCAACGUUUAACAAAUCUUAGUAAUACAUUUUUUUGAUUCUUAGAUAGUAAAUCAAAUAGAUUGUACUUGCUAUAUCGAUUAAUGCAGUAAGUGCCAUUUAUAGAUAGCAAAAUCUGCAUCGAUAGAGUCUCUUUGAGAUGAACCGGUGGGUGCUGGGACCAUCAUCCGUGGAUGACAAAGUCCGCACCGGUAGUCUUUUCGAGACGAAUUGGUAGGUGUUGGGAUUGCUAUCCAUGAAUGGCGGAUUUCACAUCUGUGGAAUUAUUUUGAUUUAUCAAAGUAUUUCUGUAUUACGAUUAAAUUUACAAAAUAUAUUUUCGUUAUUAUAUUAUGGUUUUCUUACUUUUUGAAUUUUAUCUCACGGCAUCUAAAUUUUUGCGAUUGAAUUUAUGAAUAAAUCAUGCGAGAAAAAGCAAACAAAAAGAUUAGCGAGGACUAAUGCAUACAUUUUGAAAUAUUGUGAGAUUUGGUCGCAAAUAUUUACAACAAACGAAAAGUUCGCGAGUAAUGCGAUGUUUUUUUUCUUGUGCAACACUUUUUGCGUCGUAAAAGCUGUCGACAUUUUGUGCAGUUGUCGCGCAAAUAUUUUAUAAUGUAGUGGUGUAGUGAAUCCUUGUUUUUUGAUAAAAUUUUAUUUUUAAUAGGCUCUACAUUGUACCGGCAAAACUGCAAUCACAAUUUAAUGCCUUUGUGUUACUUGUGUACUUUUUUGCAAGCCGAGAAAACUGCUGCUGUGUUUUUUUCCUUAUACAACAUCUUUUGCGACGGAGAAACUGCCGAAGUUUUGUAGAACUGCGUCCAAAAAAGUCUUAUUUUAUGUUAAUGUAGUAUACCUGCGUUUAGUAUACCUGCGUUUUAAGUAAAAUUUUGUUUUUAAUAGCUCUACAUAGUAGCAUUAAAAUUGUACAAUUAAUUUUCUCGCUCUGCGAAAAACAAUCAAAGUGAAUUAAAUUUUGAUUGCACAGUUGCUAAUGCUAAUAUGUUUUUUCUUAUGCGACACUUUUUGCAACGGAGAAACUAUUUUUCGAUAUUCUGUAUAACUAUCGUGCCUAAAAAUGUCCUAUUUUAC
rnacentral:lncRNA from 1 species